GGUGACUCGAGCGUCCGCUACCGGCCAGCCAUUUCUCACGAACGGUCGUGAGCCGUUCAGCGUUUAUUCUUCGUUGCACUAUAUGUGUUGGACUCGUGGACAGUAGAGUGGAGAACGGACUCGUUGAGGCAGUUUCCUCUUGACAUUCUUUGUUGCUGCGUUGCUCACCGUACAGGCCGCAUACUUGCUGGUGAGCUUCCUAGUUCUUUUCGUCCACUGUGAAUCAAUGUUAUUCCUGUAUAAAUACCUGAACGCUCUCCUAGCCCAUUUACUUUCUUCCAUAUUCCUCACUCGUUCUUAAUAAUUAAUUUUACUAUAAGCUUCCCUCACUUCAAAACUUGUCCAGCCCAUAUCACCGUGCACAGCUUAAUUUGUAGUCUUUCCAUGAGAGCCCUAUGCGAGGCGUCCCACAGAUUUUUCCUGGGACCCCAAGAACGACUGCAUCAUGCGCCACUUCUGCAGCCGCUUCUGCAACCUGCAGCUCUUCAAAAAGCUUGCGGCGGUGGGCAUAGAAGCAGCAGCGACAUCAGAGCCAGGAACAAGGUAGAAGUGGAAGACAGUACUGGCCGUGGACAAAUUCUCCUGGGCUCAGGCCCAAGUUAUCUCCACAUUGAUGCCCAAUGGUACACCCCAUCCAGCUUCAGAAUCAAUCCACAAGGCCUCCAGCGCAAAGCUGUUGGAGCAUCUGCUAGGGACAUGGCCACGGACGACACUCGAGCACGGUGUAUUGCGAAUCGCCAACAGCAGCAGCUGCUGCUACAUUCGAGCUGCAACCCCCGAGCGCUGCACCCAAGGCAGUUCCCCCGUGCUGAUGCCACUGUUGCUAUUGGCUGGAAGCUCAAUCAAGAAAGGUGUUUGGAUUAGUGCUCUUCUUCUUACUAUUGCUGUGUAUAUGUAUUGACACAUUUUAUUAAACAGGCUGAAGGAAGUCAAAAUCUGCAUUUGGAUUUCGAUAAAAAUUGUGUACUUACGGAAGUACAACUGCUAUGCCAUCCCCGGCUGCCGUAUGCCAACGCUCAGCCACACCCGUACAUGCGGGAAUGAAAAUUUGGCCACACUGCUUAUCAGUGUCGUAGCCAUCGGCUCUCGCUAAUUUCGAUUAGUUUUGGACACUCAACUAGCCUCAAACCACACAAAACUUAAGGUCAGAGCAUACAUACGCUUGCCAGCGCACAAUCACUUCUGGCCGCUCCUUGCUAGAUGCCUUUGCAGACUUCAUAUCGUAUUGAGCUAUUGAUGGCACUUCAAAAUGUGCAAUUUGGGUGAGGCUACUAUCCGUUGUUCGAGCUGGUGCAGGAAAAAGCCGGUACAUACCAUGUAGCACGACCAGAUUGGAGCACAUGAGCGCAAACACACACUCCAACCCUGUCGUGCAGAUAAUAAACAUUGCGCUAUACUAGCUGUACGCACUGUAGUUGCAUGUAGCUGCAUCUGCAGCAAGGCAUACGUACCGCGGCCGCUGCAGCCCGCUCGCUGAGAUUGGUACGACUCGCUGAGGACAACCGUGUAUAGUGAAAUUUCGAUAUAACAAACUUCAUGGUACGCCUGCAAAUUGUUCGUUAUUCUGAAAGGUUAUUAUAGUGAAAGCCCCAAAAUUAAUAAUUUCGCCCAUCGACCCCUCAGUUCUCACCAUAUGAGCUAU